rnacentral:rRNA from 1 species
GACGAACGCUGGCGGCGUGCCUAAUACAUGCAAGUAGGACGCAGUUGCGAACGGGUGAGUAACGCGUAGGUAACUACCUAUUAGAGGGGGAUAACUAUUGGAAACGAUAGCUAAUACCGCAUACUAGUAGAUUGACCUGCGUUGUAUUAGCUAGUAUGUAGGGUAAUGGCCUACCGAGUCAACGAUACAUAGCCGAGCUGAGAGGGGGAUCGGCCACACGUGGACUGAGACACGGCCCAGACUCCGUCGGGAGGCAGCAGUAGGGAAUCUUCGGCAAGGGGGGGAACCCUGACCGAGACAAGCCGCGUGAGUGAAGAAGGUUUUCGGAUCGUAAAGCGCUGUUGUUAAGGAGGCGGUACUUAACCAGAAAGUGACGGCUAACUACGUGCCAGCAGCCGCGGUAAUUC